UACGUAGGCAGCGAGCGUUGUUCGGAUUUACUGGGCGUAAAGAGUGCGUAGGCGGUUUUCUAAGUUUGGUGUGAAAUCUCCCGGCUUAACUGGGAGGGUGCGCCGAAAACUGGAAGGCUUGAGUAUGGGAGAGGUAAGCGGAAUUCCUGGUGUAGCGGUGAAAUGCGUAGAUAUCAGGAGGAACACCUGCGGUGUAGACGGCUUACUGGACCAUAACUGACGCUGAGGCACGAAAGCGUGGGUAGCAAACAGG
rnacentral:rRNA from 1 species